UACGUAGGGGGCCAGCGUUGUCCGGAUUCAUUGGGCGUAAAGCGCGUGUAGGCGGCCAGGUAGGUCCGAUGUGAAAUCUGGAGGCUCAACCUCCAGCGGUCAUUGGAAACCAUCUGGCUAGAGUCCGGAAGAGGAGAGUGGAAUUCCUGGUGUAGCGGUGAAAUGCGCAGAUAUCAGGAAGAACACCGAUGGCGAAGGCAGCUCUCUGGGACGGUACUGACGCUGAGACGCGAAAGCGUGGGGAGCGAACAGG
rnacentral:rRNA from 1 species